UACAGGUGAGCUUCAGCUCCCACUUUGAACCCAGCUAGCAGCAGUAAUAUUUAUGGACUUCACUGGAUCAUUACAGAUUUUGACAGUUAACAAAUUUGAAAGGGAAGUUCGAAAACAUCCAUCAAAGCUUCGACGCAGCUGGGUUUAUCUUAGAUUCAAUUUCGUUGGAGAAUCGAGUUCAAAAUCGAUUGGGUGUUUGUGAUUCUUGUUGGAAACAUCAUUUUGAAGCUGAAUAUGAAGGAUUAGUUCGAUUGAUUCUGAAUUCUAGGGUUUUUGGUUCGAAAUUUCGAACCGAUUUUGCGAGGAAGAAGGCUAAUUGGGCCUUUCGAUUUGGGUGAUUGUUUGUAGAAAUUAACUACUGGGGAUUGUUCUUAGAGUGGUUUGGAGGCAUAAUCCAAAGUUUUGUUGCACCUGGUAAAGGAUUGAACGAGAAUCGAAUUCUCUACCGUUGAAGAACUCGAAGAACACUAGCUGCGAAUUGGAAGAAUUUCGCGGACUGAUUCGAAUCGAUUCGAGCAGCUGAAUUCGUCGCAAUGAAUCAGGUAUCAUGGAGUACGGACAAACUUCUAGUCUUAAUUGUGAUCCAAGGAGUAAGACUCCGAUGCAUGAAGUUGUCUCUAUGCUUUAUGACAUAAGGGAGAAGAUUACCAAUUUUACCAUAUGGAAACACAAAACGAAUGCAAGGUUGAAUUCCAUAUUGGGGGAAUCUCACUUGAAGCAACAAGGAAAGAUGCUUACUAAUUCCUCUACAACACUAUCUGAUUCACAAGUACGACAAAUGCUUCAAAGAGGAAAACCGGAACAUAUCCAAAUACCACAAAACCUACCAAAACGACCACAAUCAGCAAAGGGACCUUAUUUUCCUCCACCAAACUACCGACCACCUACCUACUACCAACACCAACUACAACCCUCAAUCACACAUCAACCACCACAAGUACCUCAACUACAAACUUAUCGAACUUCACCACUAUCUAGACCACAAGUAACUUGUCAAGAGCCUCGGAUGAUGAACAACCCACUUUUUCAACAUGAUCAUGAGACCACAUUGAAUGAGUUGGACACCAUCCACCACGUUUUCAAUGACGAAUAUAGGGGGGAUGAAAUAAACCAAAGGGUAGAGGCCAAAUGAGUUUGAGAACAUCUUUGAAAAAUGGAAAGAGACAAAGUAAGGAUGAGAGACAAAAGAAAGAGAGAAGUGAGGGAGAGAAAAAUGACAAACUGUAGAGUGGAAAAAGGAGAGAAAGUGUGGAGUGAAGUGUGUGAGUUGUCACAAGGAAAGAGUGAAGAGCUUGAAAAGAAAAAGAGAGAAAAGAAAAAGGGAAAACAAAAAGAGCGUGAGGACUUUUCUUAUUCUAAUGCUGAUCUUUCUUCUUUCUCUAGUUGUUUUGUAACUUGUGUUGAGACUUUUGGAGAUGAUCCAUCAAGUGAAGUUCAAUCUACUUUGAUGAACUUGGAAGAAGAUCAAGCUACCUUUUCAAGAGAACUUUUGAAAGUUAAUGAACAAGUUCAAGGUAAAGAGAAUUUCAGUUUAGAAGAGCUUCAAGGUAAAAUAGCUUAUCCUUCUACUCGUGAUACUUUAGCUGAUUGUGGUGACACUUUUGAGUUUGAAAUAUAGCUAUGGCAUUGAUGAGUUUGAUACCUCUUUAUCUUGUAAUGAAAAAAACAGUUAUGUCUUGCAACUAGCUAGGAGUUAUUGUGCAUUAUUAGAUGAUUCUAGUUCGUUGUUAAAUGACUCCUUAGCUAGUGAUGUGUGUGAUGUUGAAUCUUAUGAUACCCCACCUUUAUGGGAUGAUGCAUGUGAUGAUUCUUUUGACUCUACUUUAACUUUGUUGGAAGAAAGUUUUGACCUUUAUGAAGAAAUGAGUCAAGAAGAAUGUGUUGAUGAUUCUUUUGAUUCUAUUUUCAUUCCUUUGGCAAAAAGAUUCAAUUUUUAUGGUGAAAUGAGCAAAUGUGAGUGUGAAGAUGCCUUGUUGGAGAGUGAACAAGUUACUUAUAAUGACAUAAAUAUAAAAGAAGAAAACUUCUAUUUGUAUUUCAAUGAGUUGACUUUUCAUGUAUUUGAUCUUGAUGACUCUUACGCAUAUUUAUGUGAUGAAUUUGUUGAGCAUGAAAAGGAAAGUAAAGUUUUUGAUGCUAGCACCAGUAUUAAUUGCUUUACUUAUCUUAUUCCUACUUUUGAAAGAAUAUUCUCAUUGGAUUUUGCUAAUGCUUCUAUCAGAAAAGGUAGGAAUAUUUUUUGUGGUGUUUUGAGUGACCAUUUUGAGCAAAAGAACCUAACUGUAUUGAUUGUUUUGUGAAGGUUCAACAAGAGAAAGUUGCUAAAGGUAAGAAAGGCCUUGAACUAACCACUUUGGCAUACUUUUUGUCACGAGCUUUUUCUUUUCCCCAAAAGCAAGAAUGGUAUGUAUGUAUGUUUGGCUUAUGCCUGUCUUGUGUUUAUCUAAGGCUAUUGAGGUAAAGACUCUUAACCUUGAAUAUUGUGAUAUUCUUUAUAUGAUGAUUCAUGAUGAGCUUGGCAUUUCUCUUAAGUUGUCAUAUGAAGUUGUUGGAAAGUGUGUAGAUAUUUGCGGAUUAAAAUUUAUGUUUGACCCCGGAGUUGCUUCUUAUCAUGGUGAAGUAUCUUUCUUUGGGUUGGAGAGCAUGAUUUUUAUUGCUUCUUAUGACACUUGGUUAUAUCAUAAAAGUGUACACUUUGUUGAGGAUUUGACAAGAUUGUGGUUUCGUUGGAAGCAUGAAACUUUACACUCUCUUGAUUCUUCUCAUGAGUAUCAUUUUUCUUAUAGUCAAGUUUGUGUCAUUUGUGUUGGAGAUGUAUUCUUUAUAAAUUACGACACUUGGCUAUAUCAUAAGAGUGUCACUUUUGAGUACAAGAUUGUGAUCUUUGUUCUUUUAGCUUGGACAUACAAUGCUUUGAUUGUGAUUGGUUUGGUACUUAUGUUUGCCCCUUUCUUGGUUUUGCAAGGUCCAAAUUCGAGGACGAAUUUCUUUCAAGGGGGAGGAUGAUACAUGCUGGAUGAGCAUGCCUAACAACUUUCAAGUCAACAUUAUAGCAUGGGAGUACUUUAAAGGAGUCAAGAUCAAGAAGGUUAUACUUGUAAUAAUUGACUAAGCUCCUUAGUAUUAGCUUAAGGGUAUUUGGGUCUUUUGUAGCCAAAUACCCACUCUAGUAUAAAUAGCCCUUAAAGAUUUUAUUUUAGGUAGACUUGAUGAAUGAUAAACUUGAAAACAUGCAAGUCUCACCCUUUAUCAUUAUCUUUUAAUUAAUGCAUUUAUGUUUAUGCC